ensembl:lncRNA
AUAACAGAUGUCGCUGAUAAAUAAGAAACUUACUUCUUUCUCUUAAGUUUAAAGUCUAUGCCUUUGAGUCCAUGCUUUGAUGCUUCACUGUUAGCAAAGAUCGAAUCAAAGGCGCUACCUUUACACAAAUAGCUCUUAGUAGGCAAAUAUCUUAAGAGUUUUAGUGAUAGGAAUUAGGUUCUACCAUACCCUGAUUUUCAUAAUAGAUGUAAUGUCUAUCAUUUUAGUGUCAAUUUAGAGGAACAUGUAGUGAGAGGGAAGGUCAGGUAGUACAAGUUUCUGACCCAGGCUGACCUGGACAGCUUAGAUGGAGUAAGUCCAGGCAACUCAGGGCAGGCUUUGGUCCCUGACUUAAGGGCUGGAAUUCUAGGCACAGAUAAGAAGCCUCUUCCUGGGAGAAACACAGGCCCUUGGGUUGGGAUAGGAUAUCAUUAGGGGUGUUGUAGGUACCCCAAGGCUCCUAGGACUAGCAUACCACGGACCCAGGAUCAAAUGUCUGGUUGAUCCAAAGGGGACUGGGGGGUGGAGGAUAGAGACUGAGUCCUAAGAGAAUAACUUAUUUCUAACUAAUGGGGUGGGAAGUGGGGAAAUGGAGGUCAGACAGAGGUAGGGGCCCAGACCAUUAAAUUGAAUUUAUACAAAUAUUACAAAUAUUGACACAGCUUUUCCUCUGUGAGUAAAGGAGCUAAAGACAUCCUGGAAGCCAGGAGGAAGCCGUGAGUGGACCCAGCUGGGUGCAGUAAUGGGGCAAAAGGGAGGAAAGGAGCAUAUACUUGAAAUUGCCUUUUCGUCAGGGAAAGAUUUCUCAGCCACCAUGACAUAUCUUGUGUUCCCUCCAGGUCUGUUCACUUCAUGGUGUUGUCUUUCACCAGUUCAUAGAAAGUUUUCUAGGCUCACAGUCUCACUGGAUUCAUGCAUGCCACCUUCUUCUCCCUUUGGUUGAGACUGUGGUUGGACUGGGCAGCCAGGUCCCAUUUGACAGGAAGAGUCCUUGAGGUACUCUUCAAAUUUUAUUAGGUAGAUCUCGGGUUUACUACUUUUCAGAGAGAAAACAAGAAGUAGUUGAUUAAAAUAACAAAUGCCUGAAGUGGUCAGACAUCUUCCCACUUUCUAGCCCUCCCAAUAUAUACAUGCAUCAACAGCUAUAUGCUUACUAACCCUGGGAAGAGAGCAUUCCAUGGUUGCUUCAUCUCCACCAGUCAGAAAGGACCUGAUUUAUUUCAGGACAAGUUCAGAUGAGAUUGGGCGUGUUCAAGGUAGGAUGGCGGUAGACCCAGGAUAAGUUCAGAAUCUACCUUGACUUACUGUAAUUAUAUGGGCUUCUAGAGGAAACAGCGUGGGAUACCUAUGGAAGGUCCAUACACCUGGCAACAUCCUGAGAUUGGGAAUGUCCAGAAGACCUUGAGUUCCAUACAGCCCAGGCUGAUGUGAUGGUCCAUCCAAGUGUUAGACUCGUUCUGCUCUUGCCUCUUUCAGCCAUGGUUGUCCCAUCCCUCAAGGCGACAGCUUCACCAAAAUGCAAGAAAGAGCUGGUAUUCACAGGAGUUGAUCUAUCCAAGAUUUAGACCCUAUUAUGGUUGGGUACAUUGGCCUUUGAGUCUCAAAGUAAAGUAUUAGACCCAUCCACCCUCUGCAAAUGUCCAGUGAUGACAUUCUUAUGUGAAAUAGGCCCAACAUACAUGCUUGUGGGCCUGAAGAAUCUAAUUCUACCAAUUUUAAUGCCAGUGAAAUCUCAGAAUAUCUCUUUGGAUCCAUGUAUUUCACUUUAGAUCUUCAUACUCCUCAAGUGCUGGUGAAGUAGAUGUGUAACUACAGUAAAUCUUUCCUUCAAAUGAUACAUUUCAAAUAUUAUGGCGAACCUGUUAUUCUUAGCAAAAUAAAUAAAAGAAUGUUCUCUAACUUUUCUCAAGGAACAUAACAGUUUAGCUGAGAACAACCUAGGAAGUUUUCACCUCAAAGCACUUGGCCUUGAGUGCCAUAAUCAAAAUGGCUUUUGCUCUGCACCAGAGCAUUUACAGUUGCUAAGGAAUAGUAUCAUUUAACAUGCACUCUCACUAUGGUUUUUUGGUUGUUGUUGAAGAAAAAUGUCAUAUUUGACUUUAACGUGGAUUAUGCUUUUUUCCAAGAAUAUUUCUUUUAAUUUUUCUAUGGUGAGGCAGCUGCUGUUGCUAUGCCUUCAGCUCUGUUGCUAUGGGGGAUGCCUUGGGUGUUUGCCAGACUAAGAUCAGUUAUUUCAGCACCCUUAUGUUCAGUGGUUGACACUUCUUCUCUGUUGAAUCAUGCUAUUUUAUCUUAAUUCGAUGGGUAGACUCAAUAAUGUUGAUCAGCUUUGAAAGAACUGAAAUUAGAUAUAAAAGAAUCCGCCUAUUUGUCAUCUUAGAAAACUAAAAAAAAAUUCUUAGUAUUAAGAAUUCAAGUGAUUCAUAUAGGACACAGACACAUAGAUACACAUGCAACACUAAAAGGGGGUAUAUUUAGAAAUGUGCCUGUGUACAAGACAUAUGACUCUUAAAUCAUGGGGUUCAGAGCAAUGAAAAAGGAGAAACGCUGACAUUUAUGCCAUUGUCCUGAACAGAGAAGUUAUUUCAAAUUGAAGGUGACCACAUCCUGUCCACUUCAUUGACAGCCGUCAAAAUGAAUGUAAUAAUGGCUCUUUGGGAUUCAUUCUCACUAAAUGGGUUCUCUGCUCCCCUCUCUGCCUUUAAGAUAUGUGUGUCUCCAGUAAAUGUUCUCUACUAUCAGAUCAACUUUCUAAUGAGCUGCCCUUGUCUCUGUGAUGUAGUGACAUUAAUUGAACAUUGCAGACAAGAGCCAAACUUCAAAUUGUCAAAACUUGAAAGCCUUUGAAGAGGAAAAAAAAAAAUAAAAGAGAGAAACUCAUUAUUAUGAUGACUGUCUCACUUCUUCAUCUUCUUUAUCUCAAGUGCCAGGAGAAAUAACCUUUGGAAAACAAGAUCUAGGAGCUUCUGUACCCUCGCUGCUUCGUCACUUGCCUGUUUACUUACACAGGACAGAACCUGAAUUUGUAACUUUCCUAAAUAUACAUCCACACGUAGGCUUGUAAGAGGAAUAUGAGUCAGUUGGCUCAAUGCUGAGGAAUCUAGAUUUUUACUACUCACAAGCAUAUAAUGACCGUGUUUUGUAAUUAUUUUUUUUGCUUAGGGUAUUUUUUCCUCUUCAUUAUUAGAGAACACUGGCUGUUAGAUUUAUGAGUGAAUUUAACAUUUCCAAAAUAAAACAUAUUUUAACAAAUACUUUGAAUCAUUUCCUGAAAGCAUGGAUUCUCAAUUGCCGAGUGGAUUUUUUUUUUUUAAUCUCAAUAAUCCCUUCCUAAAAAUACUUUGUGUCCUUAACAAUUAAAGAGGCUUUAUGCAUUUGGGUUGCAGAGAACACAAUUUAACAUGAAUCUCAUGGAGGUUUUGUUUUUUUUUUUUUUUUUUACAUAUAGGUCUUUUCAGACAAGUGAGAUGCAUACACAUGAAUGCCUAUAUGUAUACAUGCACACAUGUACAUACAUACAUACAUACAUACAUACAUACAUACAUAAGCAUUUUAGGAGUUUCUGCUGUGGUACAGUGGGUUAGGAAUCCAAGUGCAGCAGCUUGGGCCACUGUGGAGGUGUGGGUUUUGUCCCCGGCACAGUGGGUUAAAGGCUCUGGCGUUGAGGAUCUGGCAUAGGUCACACCUAUGGCUCGGAUUCA